rnacentral:rRNA from 1 species
UACGGGGGGAGCAAGCGUUGUUCGGAUUUACUGGGCGUAAAGGGCGCGUAGGCGGCCACCGCAAGUCGACUGUGAAAUCUCCGGGCUUAACCCGGAAAGGUCAGCCGAUACUGCGGGGCUAGAGUGCAGAAGGGGCAACUGGAAUUCUCGGUGUAGCGGUGAAAUGCGUAGAGAUCGGGAAGAACACCAGUGGCGAAAGCGCUCUGCUGGACUGCAACUGACACUAAGGGACGAAAGCUAGGGGAGCGAAAGGG